CUUUCACUGAAUGUCUUAAAAUCUUUUGCAGUUUACUUCAAUGGCUCUAACGUAGGCCUGCAGCCGCCAACAUAUCGGUGAUUGAGUGAAGGUGUUGGUGUUUGGAACAGGGCUUUGACCUGGGAUUCGCCCAUUAAACGGCUGGACAACUUGACCUUGGUGACUUGAAGAACCCGGCUUCCUUGUGGUGUAUGUUAUCAUUGAAAGAUCAGGAGUGAAGGUGUUGGUGCUUGGUAGCGGGAGCAUUCGGUUGGCUUUGACCUGGGAUUCGCCCAUUGGAACGGCUGGACAACUUGACCUUGGUGACUUGAAGGACCCGACUCCCCUCGUGGUGCAUGUUGUCAUUAAAAGACCAGGACUGAAGGUGUUGGAGCCUGGUACCGGGAGUAUUCCAUUGGCUUUGAACUGUGGUUCCUCCAUUAGAACGGCUGGAUAACUUGACCUUGGUGACUUGAUGGACCUGACUGCUUGUGGCAUACGUUGUCAUU